UCGGGUUGUAAAGCUCUGUUGUUAGGGACGAACCUGACGGUACCUAACUGCCCGGCUACUGACGGUACCUUGACAGAAAGCGCGGCUUACUACGUGCCAGCAGCCGCGGUAAUACUUACUGGGGCAAGCGUUAGCCGGAAUUAUUGGGCGUAAAGCGUGCGCAAGCCGUUUUUUAAGUCUGAUGUGAAAUCCCAAGGCUCAACCUCUAAAGUGCAUUGGAGACUGGUGGACUUCCUUGUGUAACAGGGAAGUGGAAUUCCAUGUGUAACAAUGAAAUGGGUAAAGAUGACUAGGAACACUGUAACUGAAGGUGGCUUUCUGGACCGUGACUGACGCUCAGGCUCAAAAGCCUGGGGAGCCCACACGAUUAAAUACCCUGGUAAUCCACGCCGUAAACGAU
rnacentral:rRNA from 1 species